rnacentral:misc_RNA from 1 species
GAUGAAGAACGUAGUGAAAUGCGAUAAUUAAUGUGAAUUGCAGAAUUCAGUGAAUCAUCGAGUCUUUGAACGCACAUUGCGCCCCCUGGUAUUCCGGGGGGCAUGCCUGUCCGAGCGUCAUUGCUGCCCUCAAGCACGGCUUGUGUGUUGGGCUUCCGUCCCUGGCAACGGGGACGGGCCCAAAAGGCAGUGGCGGCACCAUGUCUGGUCCUCGAGCGUAUGGGGCUUUGUCACCCGCUCCCGUAGGUCCAGCUGGCAGCUAGCCUCGCAACCAAUCUUUUUAACCAGGUUGACCUCGGAUCAGGUAGGGAUACCCGUUGAACUUAAGCAUAUCAAUAAGCGAGGA